ACCAAAUGCAAUGGCCAGUUAUGCACCCGGAUGGACUUUUGCCGCCAAAACAGCCCUGACCCGUCGAGGCAUGGACUCCACUAGACCUCUGAAGGUGUGCUGUGGUAUCUGGCACCAAGACGUUAGCAGCAGAUCCUUUAAGUCCUGGCACAUUAUCCUGCUGAAUGAGGCCAAGGCCAUCAGGGAAUACCAUUGCCAUGAAAGGGUGCACAUGGUCAGCAACAAUGCUUAGCUUUUAUCCUACUAUGCCACAUUCACGGCCCCUGGCUCCUCAUCCCUGACACGUCUGGCUCCUCAUCCCUGACACGUCUGGCUCCUCAUCCCUGACAUGUCUGGCUCCUCAUCCCUGACACGUCUGGCUCCUCAUCCCUGACACGUCUGGCUCCUCAUCGCUGACACGUCUGGCUCCUCAUCCCUGACACGUCUGGCUCCUCAUCCCUGACACGUCUGGCUCCUCAUCCCUGACACGUCUGGCUCCUCAUCGCUGACACAUCUGGCUCCUCAUCCCUGACACGUCUGGCUCCUCAUCCCUGACACGUCUGGCUUCUCAUCCCUGACACGUCUGGCUCCUCAUCCCUGACACGUCUGGCUCCUCAUCCCUGACACGUCUGUCUGAAUGUCCCUCAACUAUUCUGAGCAAAAUUCUCUCUGCCUCAGUCUGGGACCAGUCUCCUACAGUUUUGCAUAAAACCGCUGAAAGCUGGAAGUUUCUGGAGCUUUCCAUAGGCAUCCAGAAGGACCAGUCUUGCCCCUGGACAGAAGACGCAGCCACUCCAGGAGUGCAGUUUGU
ensembl:lncRNA